UACGUAGGCAGCAAGCGUUGUUCGGAGUUACUGGGCGUAAAGGGUGUGUAGGCGGUUGUUUAAGUUUGGUGUGAAAUCUCCAGGCUCAACUUGGAGGGGUCAUUCGGUACUGCCAUGACUAGAGUUCGGUAGGGGAGUGUGGAAUACCUGGUGGAGCGGUGAAAUGCGCAGAUAUCAGGUGGAACACCCGUAGCGAAGGCGGCACUCUGGGCCGGAACUGACGCUGAGGAGCGAAAGGCGUGGGGAGCGAACAGG
rnacentral:rRNA from 1 species